GGAGAAACUCUGAUGCAGCGAUGCCGCGUGAGUGAGAAGCCCUUGGGUUGUAAAGCUCUUUCGUCGGGAAGAAAAUGACUGUACCCGAAUAAGAAGUCCGGUAACUUCGUGCCAGCAGCCGCGG
rnacentral:rRNA from 1 species